rnacentral:rRNA from 1 species
AGUGAACGCUGGCGGUAGGCCUAACACAUGCAAGUCGAACGGCCGCACAGUAAGAGCUUGCUCUUACGGGUGGCGAGUGGCGGGCGGGUGAGGAAUACAUCGGAAUCUACUUUUUCGUGGGGGAUAACGUAGGGAAACUUACGCUAAUACCGCAUACGACCUACGGGUGAAAGCAGGGGAUCUUCGGACCUUGCGCGAUUGAAUGAGCCGAUGUCGGAUUAGCUAGUUGGCGGGGUAAAGGCCCACCAAGGCGACGAUCCGUAGCUGGCCUGAGAGGAUGAUCAGCCACACUGGAACUGAGACACGGUCCAGACUCCUACGGGAGGCAGCAGUGGGGAAUAUUGGACAAUGGGCGCAAGCCUGAUCCAGCCAUACCGCGUGGGUGAAGAAGGCCUUCGGGUUGUAAAGCCCUGUUGUUGGGAAAGAAAAGCAGCAGGUUAAUACCCCGCUGUUCUGACGGUACCCAAAGAAUAAGCACCGGCUAACUUCGUG